rnacentral:rRNA from 1 species
CAUGUAGGCGGCUGUGUCCGUCGUGUGUUAAAGCCCCUGGCUCAACUGGGGGGAGGUCAUGCGAGACGAUACGGCUGGAGGGCAGCAGAGGCACGUGGAACUCCCGGUGUAGCGGUGGAAUGCGUAGAGAUCGGGGAAGAACACCAGUGGCGAAGGCGAUCUUCUGGUCUAUUUCUGACGCUCAGACGCGACAGCUAGGGUAGUAAACG